rnacentral:rRNA from 1 species
CCUACGGGUGGCAGCAGUGAGGAAUAUUGGUCAAUGUACGCAAGUCUGAACCAGCCAUGCCGCGUGCAGGAUGACGGCUCUAUGAGUUGUAAACUGCUUUUGUACGAGGGUAAACCCCUCUACGUGUGUCGGUUUGAAUGUAUCGUACGAAUAAGCAUCGGCUAACUCCGUGCCAGCAGCCGCGGUAAUACGGAGGAUGCGAGCGUUAUCCGGAUUUAUUGGGUUUAAAGGGUGCGUAGGCGGUUUGAUAAGUUAGAGGUGAAAUGUCGUGGCUCAACCCCGAAACUGCCUCUAAAACUGGAAGACUAGAGAGUGGUUGCGGUAGGCGGAAUGUGUGGUGUAGCGGUGAAAUGCUUAGAGAUCACACAGAACACCGAUUGCGAAGGCAGCUUACCAAGCUAUAUCUGACGUUGAGGCACGAAAGCGUGGGUAGCAAACAGGAUUAGAUACCCUAGUAGUC